GCCAGAAGGGAAUACAGUCUACAAAUUAUUGGAUUUGAAUGAAUCAGGGACAGUGGAAGUAGACAAAAAGAACAACAGUCUACAAAUCAGUGGAUUCAGAUGAAUCAGGACAGAAGUAGCAGACAAUCCAAAUGUCUUUGUUUCCCCCCAUUUUGUGAACUCUGAACUGAUACUUGCUUGGGGAUAAUCUAAUCAGAGCAAUUGAAUGUGGACAUAAGGAGGUUCAAGUGAUGACCUGCUGAACCUGAGAUCAUUCUCAGACAAGUAGCUAUUUAUUAUGUAAAGUGCCAGUCCUACCAAAGAAGCAAUCUGUAAUAAUGUGUCUGGGUUACCUUGUUUAACUGGUUUGGACCAGUCAGAGUUAAAAGACACAAAUACACAAAGAUAGGGGUAGGAACCAUGGAACAAUAUUGGUUGUAGCCCUGUACCAGAGCCAGUAAGAAGGUGACCAAAGUAGGUCAGCUGACCUUGAGCCAAUCGGAUGGAAAUCCAUUAGUUCAACUGAUGAGGGAAACUGUAAUAGUCUGGAGCUUCAAAUACAUAAUGGUGAUAACUCUCCAGUGUGACGUGUCCAUAGUUUCAUUUUCUGUGAGUUCACAGUUUCGUUUUCUGAGAGUGUCACUUUAUGACACAUGAUGUCAGUAUAAAAAGACAUGCGGACAGAUUGCUGGAGUCUUUCAUUUCGAAGGAAAGAGCGAGAGUGUUAAGACUGUGGAAUUCGAGCUGUCAGGGAACGGCUCGCUACCGAAAAGGGUGAAGUCUGAUACUUACCCAUGCCCAAAGGAUUGGGUUAAUCAGCAGCACACUGUGCAUUUUGGAGAUGAGACUGUCACUUCGUAUGAUCUAUAUGUGGAUUCAUUAGAAUAUUUUGUGGCAACCACUUUUGUUAACCCUUGUAUGGUUUCAGGUAUGUUAUAUGGUAACCACUCGUGCUAAGAGAUAGUCUGUGACUGUCACCAUGUGAUAUCUCUAUGUGGAUUUCGGAACGACUUGACGGAUAAGAUCUUUGGUGACUGUUACUUCGUUUACCCAGCGUGGACCCUUUUGAAGACUUUGUGAUCGCCUCUUCGUUGCAUUGUGAAUUUACAAGUUUCUCCUCUCACCUACCUUGCGGAUUACUGGAACUUUCUAAAUUGCCAUUCUCAGACUGUGCUUGAGUAAGAUUUGUUAAGAACUGUUAAUAAGCUUGACUGUUUGGGAGCUACAGAUGCAUAACACUGUUAGGUUCUGUUUAAGAUAGUAGUUUGUUCAAUUUUCUAUAUUUUUGAGUAGAUGUUAAUAAAUAUAGUGGUUUAACAUCAAAACCGGACUCAAUUUGUGAUCUACUGCUGCUGUUACGUAACACCAGCAACUAGAGACCAACCAUCACGGAUGAGGAGGACCAUACAGACACGUGGAGAUGGGGACCGCAAGGAACACCUGCCCAACGUAGACUCCUUUACUGGAUUUAUAUUGUGAUGGUCGAUUGAUGACUUUUGAAGAGUUAAUUCACAAAUAUUCUCUCUCUCAGACACACUUCCUGCGAUAUUUUCAGGUUUAAUUCAACAUGGAGAGAAAAAUGUAUUUUGUUGCAAUGGAAUUAACCAUGACUGGAGCCAUGGCCAGUCUUGCUCCAGAGCUAUUCCACAAACAUAUCAAUGGUGAGGUCAUUGCUUCGAGAACACUCAGUGAACAAAAACAAAUCUACUCAAUGGAUACAGACUUUAGUGGACAAUGGCGUGUUCUAACAACUCAGCAGUGGUGAAAAUUACCCAUAACGUCGAAAAGAGCAGGGAAUGAAGAGGUUAAUUACCAAUGUUGUUCAUCCUUGUUCCAGAGAUCUGAGGGACAAAGAACAUGUCAAACAUAACUGCAGUCAGCUCGUCAUCUUCUUCAGUCUGCAGAAAGUCAUGCAGGAUGUUCAAAGGAAACCUCUUCACCCACAGAGUGGUGACUGUUUGGAACCCAUCAGCAUAGGGAGAGUGAGAGGUGAACAGCAGGAUGGAUUUAAAGGCAUUGUUGUGGAACAAAAACACAGGCUGAUUUGUUUCCCUACUGUACACUAGAAUCAACAGUUGUAAAUUCACUAGGUACCUGUGAGAGAGUUUAAAAUAAAACUGA